rnacentral:rRNA from 1 species
GACGAACGCUGGCGGCGUGCUUAACACAUGCAAGUCGAACGGAAAGGCCCUGCGUUUGUGGGGUGCUCGAGUGGCGAACGGGUGAGUAACACGUGAGUAACCUGACCUUGACUUUGGGAUAACUUCAGGAAACGGGGGCUAAUACCGGAUAGGAGCUCCUGCUGCGGGGGGGGGGUUGGAAAGUCUCGGCGGUUGGGGAUGGACUCGCGGCUUAUCAGCUUGUUGGUGGGGUAGUGGCUUACCAAGGCUUUGACGGGUAGCCGGCCUGAGAGGGUGGCCGGCCACCUUGGGCCUGCGAUACGGCCCAGUCUCCUACGGGAGGCAGAAGUGGGGAAUAUUGCACAAUGGGCCGGAGCCUGAUGCGGCGACGCCGCGUGCGGGAUGACGUCCUUCGGGUUGUAAACCGCUUUCGCCUGUGACGCAGCGUGAGUGACGGUAAUGGGUAAAGAAGCACCGGCUAACUACGUG